rnacentral:rRNA from 1 species
AACGAACGCUGGCGGCAUGCCUAACACAUGCAAGUCGAACGAGACCUUCGGGUCUAGUGGCGCACGGGUGCGUAACGCGUGGGAACCUGCCCUUAGGUUCGGAAUAACUCCCCGAAAGGGGUGCUAAUACCGGAUAAUGUCUUCGGACCAAAGUUUUAUCGCCUUGGGAUGGGCCCGCGUUGGAUUAGCUAGUUGGUAGGGUAAAAGCCUACCAAGGCGACGACCCAUAGCUGGUCUGAGAGGAUGAUCAGCCACACUGGGACUGAGACACGGCCCAGACUCCUACGGGAGGCAGCAGUGGGGAAUAUUGGACAAUGGGCGAAAGCCUGAUCCAGCAAUGCCGCGUGAGUGAUGAAGGCCUUAGGGUUGUAAAGCUCUUUUACCCGGGAUGAUAAUGACAGUACCGGGAGAAUAAGCUCCGGCUAACUCCGUG